AUUGAACGCUGGCGGCAGGCUUAACACAUGCAAGUCGAGCGGAGAGAGGUAGCUUGCUACUGAUCUUAGCGGCGGACGGGUGAGUAAUGCUUAGGAAUCUGCCUAUUAGUGGGGGACAACAUUUCGAAAGGAAUGCUAAUACCGCAUACGUCCUACGGGAGAAAGCAGGGGAUCUUCGGACCUUGCGCUAAUAGAUGAGCCUAAGUCGGAUUAGCGAGUUGGUGGGGUAAAGGCCUACCAAGGCGAAGAUCUGUAGCGGGUCUGAGAGGAUGAUCCGCCACACGGGGGCUGGGACACGUCCCAGACUCCUACGGGAGGCAGCAGUGGGGAAUAUUGGACAAUGGGCGCAAGCCUGAUCCAGCCAUGCCGCGUGUGUGAAGAAGGCCUUAUGGUCGUAAAGCACUUUAAGCGAGGAGGAGGCUACUUUAGAUAAUACCUAGAGAUAGUGGACGUUACUCGCAGAAUAAGCACCGGCUAACUCUGUGCCAGCCGCCGCCGUAAGAC
rnacentral:rRNA from 1 species